rnacentral:rRNA from 1 species
UCGAGGAUCUUCGGCAAUGGGCGAAAGCCUGACCGAGCGACGCCGCGUGUGCGAUGAAGGCCUUCGGGUUGUAAAGCACUGUCGUGGGGGAGAAAGCCCGCAAGGGUUGAUCGACCCCAGGAGGAAGCUCGGGCUAAGUUCGUGCCAGCAGCCGCGGUAAGACGAACCGAGCGAACGUUGUUCGGAAUCACUGGGCUUAAAGGGCGCGUAGGCGGGCGGUCAAGUCGAGGGUGAAAGCCCCCAGCUCAACUGGGGAAGUGCCUCCGAUACUGGCCGCCUCGAGGGGGAUAGGGGCGUGCGGAACUUCCGGUGGAGCGGUGAAAUGCGUAGAUAUCGGAAGGAACAUCGGUGGCGAAAGCGGCGCGCUGGGUCCCUUCUGACGCUGAGGCGCGAAAGCCAGGGGAGCGAACGG